AGGAAAUAGAUACCCGGGUAGUCCUGGCAGUAAACGAUGAGCACUAGGUGUGGGGGGUAUCGAGCCCCUCCGUGCCGACGUCAAACACAUUAAGUGCUCCGCCUGGGGAGUACGGCCGCAAGGUUAAAACUCAAAGGAAUUGACGGGGCCCCGCACAAGCAGCGGAGCGUGUGGUUUAAUUCGAUGCAACGCGAAGAACCUUACCUAGGCUUGACAUGGCACUGUAAAGGCUGGAAACAGCUUCCCUCUUCGGAGCAGUGUCACAGAUGUUGCAUGGCUGUCGUCAGCUCGUGUCGUGAGAUGUUGGGUUAAGUCCCGCAACGAGCGCAACCCUCGUGGCUAGUUGAACCGCUCUAGCCAGACCGCCUACUAAAUAGGAGGAAGGUGGGGAUGACGUCAAGUCCGCAUGGCUCUUACGUCUAGGGCUACACACACGCUACAAUGGCCGGAACAGAGCGCAGCAAGCGUGCGAACGCAAGCAAAUCGCGAAAACCGGUCUCAGUUCGGAUUGCAGG
rnacentral:rRNA from 1 species